rnacentral:lncRNA from 1 species
AAAAACUACGAGGAUCAACUUGCUUACCAACUUACCAAAAAAAAAAAAAUAGCAAUAUUUUGUACAACAGAUGUAUGGACGACUUACUUCAUGUUGACAACUCUUAUUUUUUUACACAAUACUUCAUGCACAAGAUUCAGAAGAGUCAGUAGCUAGAAACAUUUUGGCAAGAGGGAUCACAUGCUGUGUGCAGUCAAAGCUUCAGUGACUACUAUUUUCAUUUUCAUGGACUAUUGGACAUUCAUUGAAUCUAAUACUCAAGAUUCUACCAAGUUAAAGACCUGUAUGUGACCAGGAAGGGAAAAUAAACACAAAGUAUAUCCUAAAAGGAGGAGCAUGAGUACGGAAAACUUGAAGCUACCUUUAUUUUUGAAAACAGCAUCCUCAGAGCUUUUGGUUGAUCCAUAUACUCAUUCUCAAAAUAUGAGGAAUACAGAAAACUCCUGCUAUGGCAACUCAAAUCUUGUGAAUGGUCUGCAAGAGAGCUCCUUGGUGAAGAGUGGCAUGCCCAAUACCAUGGGAGACUGUUCACUGAUUAUCUGCUGAACCCUGAAAGCAUAUUUGAAUUAGCCCUCAAAAUGUAUUGCACAGAAUAUGUGUUUCCUGUUCAUAAAAAGCUUUGAUAUCCAAGAGGGAACUACUACCUAUACCACAUAAUGAAACACUUUUGCCCAUUUUCUCCUCACUGGGCUCAUUCUACAACUUGCCUGAAUGAGUAAGGUACCCCACCAGAGCUGUGGGUUAGAGAAAGGAAGACAAAAAAAAAAAAAAGAAUAAGAGAAGUAGAAGAAUAGAUCAUGCUCUCAUACCUUUCCCUGUGAAUGAUGCUAAACCAUGGUUCUGAUGUGAGCCCAGAAUAAAAUAAAU